rnacentral:lncRNA from 13 species
AGAAUCUUGAGCCUUCAUGCUCCAGGUUUAGGUAAUGUGGGAGACCGAGGUCUCCUUCUGCCUCUUCAGAUGAGAGAUCCCCUCACCACCAACACUGCAAAGGCUCAGACCCUUUUCCUAUCCUGGAAGCAAGUAUGACUCAUUUCUUUUUAAGCAAUUGUUUUAUGAUAUUUAAAUGAGGCUGUUAUAUUUGGAAGUGAACAAAUGUACAACUACCUUGUUUCAGAAUUUCAAAAGGAGUCCUACAUCUCCUUUGUGUGAUCUGUGACCUUUUCAAAGGACAGCGCCCAAGUCUGGUUGAGAAAUUCAACUUCAACCUGAACGAGUCGGAGAAAGAUGUACUAAAGAUGGAAGAGAAGCUAACGGACAAAGAUUUUCAAAAACGCAUGGUGAGAAAUGAAAUCUUUAAUUGGCGUGACUUGAAUGAUAUUAUAUUGUCACGUAGUACUGGAUGGAAAAAUCCUAUCCUUUUGUAGUACAAUAGUGUCCUUUUGUAAAAUUGCAGAUAUCUUAGGUCUCAAAGCUGAGGGGUAAAGACAUCCCAGACGUGGUGAAGAGAGCAAUGCAUUGGUAAACUAUUACGAUAUUUGUAUCACUUUUAAAAUAAGUUGUGUUGUGUACAUAUGUAAAGUACAUAUUUUGUGUUCUAUACAGAACCCUGACAAACGGCCUUGUGUUCUAUACAGAACCCUGAGAAACGGCCUUGUGUUCUAUACAGAACCCUGACAAAUGGCCUCAUGUCAACGAUGACUAUGAAAGGUAACAAAUGGAAGAGGGCCUUUGAGGACUCCAACCUUUGCAGUGUCAUUAUAGCAAGUAUGAGUCUUGGCGAAUCAAAGGCUACAGAGGCAGAUAUAUUACAGGCGAUGUCAACCUGCCUGCAAUAUGCACCUGACUGCAAGGGGGCCAGUGGGAGGGCCAAUGAGAGUUCUUAAGAAGUUAAAGCAUCAAAGCCUGUUCUGACAGUGCAUUUUUUUGGUUUAUUGUAUAUCUGAUUUUGGUUUCCAGAAGCCUGUGCCAGAAAUUCAUUUUUUGGCUUAUAUAUAUAUAUAUAUAUAUAUAUAUAUAUAUAAAUGGCUUUUACAUUUAUUUUGUGGUGCAAUAAUUUUUCAUUUCAACCAUUCUUGACUUUUUUUUGCAUUUGUUUUUAC